UACGAGGGGGGCAAGCGUUUGUUCGGAAUUAUUGGGCGUAAAGGGAGCGUAGGCGGUUUUGUAAGUCGUGUGUGAAAUCUUCGGGCUCAACCCGAAGUCUGCACACGAAACUGCAGGGCUUGAGUAUGGGAGAGGUGAGUGGAAUUCCUGGUGUAGCGGUGAAAUGCGUAGAUAUCAGGAGGAACACCUGUGGCGAAAGCGGCUCACUGGACCAUUACUGACGCUGAGGCUCGAAAGCUAGGGGAGCAAACAGG
rnacentral:rRNA from 1 species